UUACGGCCACAUCACUUUGAAGCACCGGUUCCCGUACGAUCACUAAAGUUAAGCAACGUCGAGUUGGUAUCUAGAUUGGUGACCGCUUGGGAAUACCAGAUGUUAUA